GUUGGAUUGUUCACCCACUAAUAUGUGGAACGUGAGCUGGGUUUAGACCGUCGUGAGACAGGUUAGUUUUACCCUACUGAUGAGUUCGUUGUCUAAACAGUAAUCCAACCCAGUACGAGAGGAACCGUUGGUUCAGAUAAUUGGUAACUGCGGUUAGCUGAAAAGCUAGUGCCGCCAAGCUACCAUCUGUAGGAUUAUGGCUGAACGCCUCUAAGUCAGAAUCCAUGCUGGAAUAGACGAUAAUCACCUUUCCCGAUGUGCCGCGAAUAGCGAUAGGUGUCUUCUGGACACCCAACAUCAUACAAUUGCAACGCACUCCGCUGCCUGUCAAGUACUGGCGGUGGAGAGUAGGCUGAUUUGU